CCCCAAACUUAGCUAGCUCCCCCCAAGCUCAGGCUGGCCCUGCCCCAGACUGCGACCCCUCCCUCUUGGGUUCAAGGCUUUGUUUUCUUCUUAAAGACCCAAGAUUUCCAAACUCUGUGGUUGCCUUGCCUAGCUAAAAGGGGAAGAAGAGGAUCAGCCCAAGGAGGAGGAAGAGGAAAACAAGACAAACAGCCAGUGCAGAGGAGAGGAACGUGUGUCCAGUGUCCCGAUCCCUGCGGAGCUAGUAGCUGAGAGCUCUGUGCCCUGGGCACCUUGCAGCCCUGCACCUGCCUGCCACUUCCCCACCGAGGCCAUGGGCCCAGGAGUUCUGCUGCUCCUGCUGGUGGCCACAGCUUGGCAUGGUAAGAGCAGAA
rnacentral:lncRNA from 1 species